UACCUGCGUCUCAUUUACGUGCCGAAGAUGAAUGCUACCUCUUUUUUUAUGUGAGGUCUCCAUAAAAAACUAGCAUCCGUUGUUAGCUUGUUAGAGAGAAUAGCGACAGAUUGCCCAAUUGAUUGCUCUGUAAUGAGGCACAGAGCUUGCAUGUACUACCCUUGCCCUACCUUACAAGCAAAGUAGCUGUCGCUCCCGAUCACUGUGAGCCUGUGCUUCUCCAUAAACCAAGCAGCUCCCAAGCCCCACUUUGGCAUUUCACACCCAACCCUGACCCUGC
rnacentral:lncRNA from 1 species